rnacentral:rRNA from 1 species
AUUGAACGCUGGCGGCAUGCUUUACACAUGCAAGUCGAACGGUAACAGGCCGCAAGGUGCUGACGAGUGGCUCACGGGUGAGUAAUGCAUCGGAACGUGCCCAGUCGUGGGGGAUAACUACUCGAAAGAGUAGCUAAUACCGCAUACGAUCUAUGGAUGAAAGCGGGGGACCGUAAGGCCUCGCGCGAUUGGAGCGGCCGAUGUCAGAUUAGGUAGUUGGUGGGGUAAAGGCUCACCAAGCCAACGAUCUGUAGCUGGUCUGAGAGGACGACCAGCCACACUGGGACUGAGACACGGCCCAGACUCCUACGGGAGGCAGCAGUGGGGAAUUUUGGACAAUGGGCGCAAGCCUGAUCCAGCAAUGCCGCGUGCAGGAAGAAGGCCUUCGGGUUGUAAACUGCUUUUGUACGGAACGAAACGGCUCUGGUUAAUACCCGGGGCUAAUGACGGUACCGUAAGAAUAAGCACCGGCUAACUACAUG